UGGUGGAGUGAUUUGUCCGGUUAAUUCCGAUAACGAACGAGACUCUGUCCUGCUAACUAGGUUGUGUUUUCUCGGGUUGGUGUUUCUGGUGUUCCUUCUCGGGGCGCCGGCCCAAUCCACUUGUGAACACAACACUCUUCUUAGAGGGACUGGCGGCUGUUAGCCGCACGAGAUAGAGCAAUAACA
rnacentral:rRNA from 1 species